GUCCAAGCUUCUCCCAGCAUGCUUUUCUGAGCAGCUGAUCGGGGUUUACAGUAGGAAGACUGAUGAGCAGAGUGUGGAUGCUAGACAGAAAGGACUUGGACCAGUGGUGUAAAGAUAAGGGCUGGCCAAACCCUCAGUAUGGAGACACUGCAACACCGUAAAUCAUCCCUGGGGGAAAUAUCCAGAACAACCCACCAGAGGUUAUGGAAAAUAGAGAUUAAAAGUGAGAAAAGAAAGCAAAUACUCCCUGCUACUUAUUGGUUAUAAUGAUUGAAUCUAUAAGGUGUAUGAUCACAGUGUAGUAUAGAUACCACAUUUCUCUCCAAAAACAAAUGAUUUCAGAGUACCAGGAUACAUUACUACAUGUUUGGGUCAUAUACUCAGUUUCUUUAGAGCCCUGUUCAACACUGAACACAUAUCUUUGUUUUAGUUUGAUCAUUAAACACACUUUACAGUUAAUGUCUCACACUCCUUCAUGUCUUGGUCUAAACUGAAGCAUAUUUUAGAUCAUUGUUUUAUAUCCGUCACAUUUAUGCUUCUCUGUGUAUUCUGUGUGUAUUCCUUAUAAUCAGGGCACGCUGUAAAGCACUACCCACAUGGAGUGGACUUAAAGUGAAUAUUUAAAUUGUGGUUUUGGGCUUUCAAAUAUUAAGGGGUGUUUGGUUUUUAUGUUAAUCAUGUGCAUUGAUGUGAUCAUGAUGGAUCUGAUUAUAUAUUAUAUGGUAAGCUCUGACUUGGGAAGCACUUUGUAGAAGAAUCAUGAUUACUAUUAAAAUUAAAUAAAAAAUUGAAUUAUUAACAUAAUGAUUACUUUAUAUCAGGGGUCUUCAACGCUUUUUAAGCCAAGGACCCCUUAACUGAAAGAGAGAUGGAGCAGGGACCCCCUACCACAUAUAUUGUAUGAAAAGAAGUUGCUCAUUAAACUGGGCCUACAAUACUGUGUGGGUGGCCUAAAGUCUUUAUAUAUACCUUUUUUGCAAAGAAUACUGUAUAUCACUAUUUCUUACUGUAUUCAUACUAUAUAGCUUCACUAUUUUAAUGUAACCAUCUGAGUGUGGUGAAGACAAACUUUCGAUAUCGUUGUGUUUUGCUCAUGGAGUGAAAAUAUGUUAGAUUCUUAAUAUAUAUUUGGGGCUGUAAAGGGAAACCUACCAAAGUUAUUUGAGCCUUUAUACUUCAUCCCCCACUAAGACAUGUUGAUGACAGAUUGUGCCUGCUCUAUUUGAAAUAAAAUAUAAAAAAUGUU